rfam:Mycoplasma bovoculi M165/69, complete genome.
CAAUUUGAGAGUUUGAUCCUAGCUCAGGAUGAACGCUCGCUGUGUGCCUAAUACAUGCAUGUUGAACGGAAUAUUUUAGCUUGCUAAAAUAUUUAGUAGCGAAUGGGUGAGUAACACGUACCUAAUCUACCUUUAGGUUCGGGAUAACUUUUGGAAACAAGAGCUAAUACCUGAUAUAGUUUAUUUUCGCAUGAAGAUAAAUAAAAAGGAGCUUCACGGCUUCGCCUAGAAAUGAGGGUGCGGAACAUUAGUUAGUUGGUGAGGUAAUGGCUCACCAAGACGAUGAUGUUUAGCGGGGCCAAGAGGUUGUACCGCCACACUGGGACUGAGAUACGGCCCAGACUCCUACGGGAGGCAGCAGUAAGGAAUUUUCCACAAUGAGCGAAAGCUUGAUGGAGCGACACAGCGUGCACGAUGAAGUCUUUAGGGAUGUAAAGUGCUGUUAUAAGGAAAGAAAAAAUUAAAUAGGAAAUGAUUUAAUCUUGACGGUACCUUAUUAGAAAGCGACGGCAAACUAUGUGCCAGCAGCCGCGGUAAUACAUAGGUCGCAAGCGUUAUCCGGAAUUAUUGGGCGUAAAGCGUCCGUAGGUGUUUUGUUAAGUUUAAGGUUAAAUACUGAAGCUCAACUUCAGCCCGCUUUAGAUACUGGCAAAAUAGAAUUAUGAAGAGGUUAGCGGAAUUCCUAGUGGAGCGGUGGAAUGCGUAGAUAUUAGGAAGAACACCAAUAGGCGAAGGCAGCUAACUGGUCAUAAAUUGACACUAAGGGACGAAAGCGUGGGGAGCAAACAGGAUUAGAUACCCUGGUAGUCCACGCUGUAAACGAUGAUCAUUAGUUGGUGGUAAUAAUCACUAGCACAGCUAACGCGAUAAAUGAUCCGCCUGAGUAGUAUGCUCGCAAGAGUGAAACUUAAAGGAAUUGACGGGAACCCGCACAAGCGGUGGAGCAUGUGGUUUAAUUUGAAGAUACGCGGAGAACCUUACCCACUCUUGACAUCCUUGCAAAGCUAUAGAGAUAUAGUAGAGGUUAACAAGAUGACAGAUGGUGCAUGGUUGUCGUCAGCUCGUGUCGUGAGAUGUUAGGUUAAGUCCUGCAACGAGCGCAACCCCUUUCUUUAGUUACUAACAUUAAGUUGAGGACUCUAGAGACACUGCCAGCGUAAGCUGGAGGAAGGUGGGGAUGACGUCAAAUCAUCAUGCCUCUUACGAGUGGGGCAACACACGUGCUACAAUGGCUACUACAAAGAGAAGCAAAACGGUGACGUCCAGCAAAUCUCAAAAAAGUAGUCCCAGUUCGGAUUGAAGUCUGCAACUCGACUUCAUGAAGUCGGAAUCGCUAGUAAUCGCAGGUCAGCUAUACUGCGGUGAAUACGUUCUCGGGUUUUGUACACACCGCCCGUCACACCAUGGGAGUUGGUAAUACCCAAAGUCGGUUAGUUAACUUCGGAGACUGCUGCCUAAGGUAGGACUGAUGACUGGGGUGAAGUCGUAACAAGGUAUCCCUACGAGAACGUGGGGAUGGAACACCUCCUUU